rnacentral:rRNA from 1 species
GGGUUGUGAGGUUAAGCGACUAAGCGUACACGGUGGAUGCCCUGGCAGUCAGAGGCGAUGAAGGACGUGCUAAUCUGCGAUAAGCGUCGGUAAGGUGAUAUGAACCGUUAUAACCGGCGAUUUCCGAAUGGGGAAACCCAGUGUGAUUCGUCACACUAUCAUUAACUGAAUCCAUAGGUUAAUGAGGCGAACCGGGGGAACUGAAACAUCUAAGUACCCCGAGGAAAAGAAAUCAACCGAGAUUCCCCCAGUAGCGGCGAGCGAACGGGGAGCAGCCCAGAGCCUGAAUCAGUGUGUGUGUUAGUGGAAGCGUCUGGAAAGGCGCGCGAUACAGGGUGACAGCCCCGUACACAAAAAUGCACAUGCUGUGAGCUCGAUGAGUAGGGCGGGACACGUGGUAUCCUGUCUGAAUAUGGGGGGACCAUCCUCCAAGGCUAAAUACUCCUGACUGACCGAUAGUGAACCAGUACCGUGAGGGAAAGGCGAAAAGAACCCCGGCGAGGGGAGUGAAAAAGAACCUGAAACCGUGUACGUACAAGCAGUGGGAGCACGCUUAGGCGUGUGACUGCGUACCUUUUGUAUAAUGGGUCAGCGACUUAUAUUCUGUAGCAAGGUUAACCGAAUAGGGGAGCCGAAGGGAAACCGAGUCUUAACUGGGCGUUAAGUUGCAGGGUAUAGACCCGAAACCCGGUGAUCUAGCCAUGGGCAGGUUGAAGGUUGGGUAACACUAACUGGAGGACCGAACCGACUAAUGUUGAAAAAUUAGCGGAUGACUUGUGGCUGGGGGUGAAAGGCCAAUCAAACCGGGAGAUAGCUGGUUCUCCCCGAAAGCUAUUUAGGUAGCGCCUCGUGAAUUCAUCUCCGGGGGUAGAGCACUGUUUCGGCAAGGGGGUCAUCCCGACUUACCAACCCGAUGCAAACUGCGAAUACCGGAGAAUGUUAUCACGGGAGACACACGGCGGGUGCUAACGUCCGUCGUGAAGAGGGAAACAACCCAGACCGCCAGCUAAGGUCCCAAAGUCAUGGUUAAGUGGGAAACGAUGUGGGAAGGCCCAGACAGCCAGGAUGUUGGCUUAGAAGCAGCCAUCAUUUAAAGAAAGCGUAAUAGCUCACUGGUCGAGUCGGCCUGCGCGGAAGAUGUAACGGGGCUAAACCAUGCACCGAAGCUGCGGCAGCGACGCUUAUGCGUUGUUGGGUAGGGGAGCGUUCUGUAAGCCUGCGAAGGUGUGCUGUGAGGCAUGCUGGAGGUAUCAGAAGUGCGAAUGCUGACAUAAGUAACGAUAAAGCGGGUGAAAAGCCCGCUCGCCGGAAGACCAAGGGUUCCUGUCCAACGUUAAUCGGGGCAGGGUGAGUCGACCCCUAAGGCGAGGCCGAAAGGCGUAGUCGAUGGGAAACAGGUUAAUAUUCCUGUACUUGGUGUUACUGCGAAGGGGGGACGGAGAAGGCUAUGUUGGCCGGGCGACGGUUGUCCCGGUUUAAGCGUGUAGGCUGGUUUUCCAGGCAAAUCCGGAAAAUCAAGGCUGAGGCGUGAUGACGAGGCACUACGGUGCUGAAGCAACAAAUGCCCUGCUUCCAGGAAAAGCCUCUAAGCAUCAGGUAACAUCAAAUCGUACCCCAAACCGACACAGGUGGUCAGGUAGAGAAUACCAAGGCGCUUGAGAGAACUCGGGUGAAGGAACUAGGCAAAAUGGUGCCGUAACUUCGGGAGAAGG